CUACGGGGGGCACCAGUGGGGAAUAUUGCACAAUGGGGGAAACCCUGAUGCAGCGACGCCGCGUGAACGAUGAAGUAUUUCGGUAUGUAAAGUUCUAUCAGCAGGGAAGAUAAUGACGGUACCUGACUAAGAAGCACCGGCUAAAUACGUGCCAGCAGCCGCGGUAAUACGUAUGGUGCAAGCGUUAUCCGGAUUUACUGGGUGUAAAGGGUGCGUAGGUGGUAUGGCAAGUCAGAAGUGAAAGCACGGUGCUCAACCCCGUAACUGCUUUUGAAACUGUCAAACUAGAGUGCAGGAGAGGAAAGCGGAAUUCCUAGUGUAGCGGUGAAAUGCGUAGAUAUUAGGAGGAACACCAGUGGCGAAGGCGGCUUUCUGGACUGUAACUGACACUGAGGCACGAAGGCGUGGGGAGCAAACAGGAUUAGAUACCCGGGUAGUC
rnacentral:rRNA from 1 species